CCAGAGGCUUGGAGGGGUUUUACUCUCUGUGGCCCUCCCAAAUUAAUAUAGACUUCAAGGCUGUAAUUAAGUGAAAUCAAGAACUAAUAUUUUGUUCCAAGAGCAUGUGAAUAUAUGUAGAUUUGUAGAACCAAACCUGUAAACACUAUAAUGUCAAACCUAAAUGUCUUCAUCCAAAUUAAUUUAAAACAAGGAUUAGGAACCCUUGCAAUUUCGCUGCUAGAUUCUGUGACAUUUAGUAAUAUUGGUUUUUAACCCUCAGUCUUUAGAGCUGUUUUUUAAAAGACUACAAGUCAGAAUAUGCUAAAGGAAAGGUUCAGUCUCUGGCAUAAGUGAAAAGUGAUGUUUGCAUUUUCUAGUUAUCUGGAGGUUCAAAUCAGAAGAAGAAGAAGAAGAAAAGAAGUUAAAUGGGAUAUGGUGAAAAUAUCAGCUUCAUUUUAGCAGUCACACCAUUCAGAAGGACCUGGCCCAUGAAUUUGCAGCACUUGGAACGUUCUACUCACAGAAAUUGCUUGCAGAAGGGGGAUCUGCAAGGCCUCUUAAAAGGCAUGCUGACCUCUCUUGUUCCCUUUGAAGCACUUAAGAUCAUAUCCAAGAGCUGCAUUCCAGCUGUGGCGCCUUCUGAGGAAGUCAAGGAGUUAGAGAGAGUUGUUAAGACUACCUUCCAAGGAGGGAUCAUAAAUAUCCAAACAGGUAAAAAUCCCAUUGUGUAUUGGUCAGUAUAUACCUAUGUGUCAUGUCAGCUUCAGGUUCUGAGGAUGUGA
rnacentral:lncRNA from 1 species